GUUGAAUUGGGAAGGAAGCUGCUCAGCCAGCACUUCUUCAGACAUGUACUUGACGACGACAUCUUUGAAGAUGGAAGCCACUUGUAUCGUUUUUUGGAAGAUGACCCUACCAUAAUGACUCAAUGCUACAAUGUUUCGAGGGAUAGAAUUGAUGUUCAACCUAAGCCUAUAAUUGAAAUCUCGUCAAACUUAAGAUUGCUGUCCUAUGGUAUUUUUGAGGCUUAUGUAUCUGAAGGUGGAAAUAAUGUUGACUACAACAGCAUUCAUCAUUCUGAGGAGUUCAAAAGGUGGGCUUCAAACUUACCAUAAAGAGAAUAGUGAAACCUUGGUGAAUAAAAUGUGGGCUUGUAACUUAAUCUUUGCUGCGAUGAAUUUUUUUUUCUACCCAGAAUUUCAGCAGACACCCUUCAACUAUGAAGACAUCAGAAUUGACCAAAACUAUGUAUUCUGGUCUUUUGCGGCCUCUUGUGAAGACUAAAUCUAAGCCCAUAUAUUUUGUCAUCUGUGGAAAUUUUGGUUUGAUUUGCCAUCAUUCAAUUCUUCCUACCAAACUUCUGUUUAACUGGCUGCAUCAUUUGAUUCCCAUAGAUCAUGCAUUUAAUAUUUUUUUAUAAUUUACAUUUUGCAUUUGCAUCUCCAUCUGAAUAACUUGAUUUUAUGGUGAGUUUCUUUUUUUUUAAUGAAGUGUGAAGUA